CACAGCUAAGGUCCCAAAUUUUGUGCUAAGUGGAAAACCAUGUGGAAAGGCACAGACAGCCAGGAGGUUGGCUUAGAAGCAGCCACCCUUUAAAGAAAGCGUAAUAGCUCACUGGUCGAGUCGGUCUGCGGGGAAGAUUUAACGGGGCUAAGCACAGAACCGAAGCUUGGGGUGCAUAACUUUGUUAUGCGCGGUAGAGGAGCGU
rnacentral:rRNA from 1 species